rnacentral:lncRNA from 1 species
GUCCUAUGGCCAUAGCCAGAUGAAGAGAGGAGAAAAAAUAGGGGUUCAAGUGCCCCAUUUAAAGAAGAAGAAGAAGAAGAAGAGAGUACCUCUCUUCACUUUCUUUCCUUUUUUAUUUUAAUUUUUCUUGCUCCUCUCUGUCACUAACUAGGUUGAGGAGAAUUAAAAAAAAAAGACUAAGGGGACUUGGAGUAGACCCCUAGCAAGUCAUAGAGUGUUUAAAUUAAAUAAUUUAUAUUUUAUUAUUUUUAAUAUUGAG